UCGGAUUGUAGUCUGCAACCCGACUACAUGAAGCUGGAAUCGCUAGUAAUCGCGGAUCAGAAUGCCGCGGUGAAUACGUUCCCGGGUCUUGUACACACCGCCCGUCACACCAUGGGAGUCGGAAACGCCCGAAGUCUGUGACCCAACCUGCAAGGGGAGGGAGCAGCCGAAGGCAGGUCGGAUGACUGGGGUGAAGUCGUAACAAGGUAUC
rnacentral:rRNA from 1 species